CGGUUGUUCCGCCAGGAGCACCGCCGGGUAGCCGCGUCUGGCAAGGAUAAGUGCUGAAAGCAUCUAAGCACGAAGCCUCCCUCAAGAUAAGAUCUCCACUUCAAAGGGCCGUCAGAGACGAUGACGUUGAUAGGUCGCAGGUGCAGGGGCUGCAAGGUCCACAGCCGAGCGAUACUAAUCGCCCAAACCCUUUCUUAC
rnacentral:rRNA from 1 species